ensembl:snoRNA
GAUCAGUGAUGAAAACAGCCAAAUCUGAGCAUCAAAAGACCUUCUAAUCUACCUGAUACACGAUUUCUGUAGUUCUAUGA